GAUUGUCAUACUUUUAAUGUUUGCUGAACUAGUGAGUGCAAAAUGAUAUCUUAGUUUUAAUUUGUAGUUCCUGAAUAAUUAAUUUGGUUGAGUAUUUAUUUAUUCAUGUGUUUGUUGGCUUUUCUAAUUUCCUUAUCUACAAAGUAAAUGCAGUUCAUAUCUCUCUUUACUUUCUUAGCCCUUUUAUAUCCACAUGUGGAUGAGGAGUUAAAGAUACAUGAGUAGCACUGAGGCAGAUGAAGAGGAAUGAGGCAGAAUGAGUGUUCCAAGAAGAGAAGACACCAUAUUUGAAAUGCCAGACAUCAGUGAGAAUGUGGGGUGUUUGAGAAACCAAGAGAAAUCCUAUGCAUUAUGAUGCUAAAAUGCAAGCUUUGAUUUUAAGACUUCUCCUGGUACAGACCAGGUUCUCCAGAAGAGAUGCUGGACAGAGUUUGGGUUGCAAGGUAUGUGCUGGGGUCAACAUUUUUGUAAGGAAGGGGAAGCAGAGGGAGAAAUCUUUCUGUGCUAUAGCCCUGACAGUUUCCAGCAACUCAGCUGGCUACAUUGGA
rnacentral:lncRNA from 1 species